AUUGAACGCUGGCGGCAUGCCUUACACAUGCAAGUCGAACGGCAGCGGACCUUCGGGUGCCGGCGAGUGGCGAACGGGUGAGUAAUAUAUCGGAACGUACCUUUCAGUGGGGGAGUAACGUAGCGAAAGUUACGCUAAUACCGCAUAUUCUGUGAGCAGGAAAGCAGGGGAUCGCAAGACCUUGCGCUGAUUGAGCGGCCGAUAUCAGAUUAGCUAGUUGGUGAGGUAAAGGCUCACCAAGGCGACGAUCUGUAGCGGGUCUGAGAGGAUGAUCCGCCACACUGGAACUGAGACACGGUCCAGACUCCUACGGGAGGCAGCAGUGGGGGAAUUUUUGGACAAUGGGCGCAAGCCUGAUCCAGCCAUGCCGCGUGAGUGAAGAAGGCCUCGGUUGU
rnacentral:rRNA from 1 species